rnacentral:rRNA from 1 species
GACGAACGCUGGCGGCGUGCCUAAUACAUGCAAGUAGGACGCAGUUGCGAACGGGUGAGUAACGCGUAGGUAACUACCUAUUAGAGGGGGAUAACUAAUGGAAACGCAAGCUAAUACCGCAUACUAGUAGAUGGACCUGCGUUUUAUUAGCUAGUAGGUAGGGUAAAGGCCUACCUAGGCAACGAUACAUAGCCGAACUGGGAGGGGUGUCGGCACAACUGGGACUGAGACACGGCCCAGACCCCUACGGGAGGCAGCAGUAGGGAAUCUUCGGCAAUUGGGGGAACCCUGACCGAGCAACGCCGCGUGAGUGAAGAAGGUUUUCGGAUUGUAAAGCUCUGUUGUUAAGGAAGCGGUACUUAACCAGAAAGGGACGGCUAACUACGUGCCAGCAGCCGCGGUAAUAC